UACGUAGGGUGCAAGCGUUAAUCGGAAUUACUGGGCGUAAAGCGUGCGCAGGCGGUUUUGUAAGUCUGUCGUGAAAUCCCCCGGGCUCAACCUGGGAAUGGCAUUUGGGACUGCAAGGCUGGAGUGCGGCAGAGGAGACUGGAAUUCCUGGUGUAGCAGUGAAAUGCGCAGAUAUCAGGAGGAACACCGGUGGCGAAGGCGGCAUCCUGGACCGGCAUUGACGCUGAGGCGCGAAAGCCAGGGGAGCAAACGGG
rnacentral:rRNA from 1 species